rnacentral:rRNA from 1 species
UGUGUAGGCGGGCAAUUAAGUCAGUGGUGAAAUCUCCGGGCUCAACCCGGAAACUGCCAUUGAUACUAUUUGUCUUGAAUAUCGAUGAGGUGGGCAGAAUAUGUCAUGUAGCGGUGAAAUGCAUAGAUAUGACAUAGAAUACCGAUUGCGAAGGCAGCUCACUAACCGAUCAUUGACGCUGAGGCACGAAAGCGUGGGGAUCAAACA